rnacentral:lncRNA from 1 species
AUGGGUGUAUACAUUUGUCAAAACUCACAAAAUAUUCAUGUAAAAUGGGUGUAUUUUGAUAUAAAUUAUAGCUUGAUAAAGUUGAUUUUAAAAGAAAAAAAAGUGGGAUAUUUAAAAAUGUCCACUGUAGCCCUUCUCCCAUCGGCCAUGCUGUUGAAUUGUUUAUUACCUCCUAUGUUCCAUCUGGUUUAUGAUCUUUUGGAGAGUUGGGAAGGUGAGGUUUCAUCCCCAUCUUCCCUCUGGAGCUCAGCACAGUGCCUGGAAUGUAGUAUGUGUUCAAUUAAAUGUCUACUGAAGUGAAAAGACUAGGAAGUUAGAGAAGAGUCCUGGAACACCGUGAAGGGUUAUCGAGUCAGAAGACAAUAGAGGUAAAGCAAUAGAGAGGGCAAGCUGAAGAGAGGUCUGUGAAAUGACAGCUGUGGGGAUGAGAGACUGCCAGGAGAUGCAGGAGGCUACAGCUGGGUGAUGAGGCCACCAGGAACCUGGAAGUGAAGAGCUGAAUCUGUGGAUGCAUCUGUGUUGCCCAGAAAUAGAUUGUCAGAACAGUGCUUGAUAAAUAGCAGCUACCAGGUGGCUAAUGAACUGGGUACCUGGGAAAACACACAACCAGUACAUGGGUUUCUAGAAUAUAGAAAUGACUGUUUAUGAGCUGUGGAGCCAAAUAACCUCCAACCAUUUAAUGAUACGGUAUUAGGUUGAGCCAUGUGAAAUGGUCACUAUUAGACUCUGUCCUACAAAAAUGGCAAUUUCAUACAACUCAACCUACAACUUUAUACUUGAGUUUCAAACAUAAUAUCGGUUGAUCCUCAAAUCUUUGCCUUGGCCGGGUGCGGUGGCUCACAUAAAUCCCAGCACUUUGGGAGGCCGAGGCGGUUGGAUUACCUGAGGUCUGGAGUUUGAGACCAGUCUGGCCAACAUGGUGAAACCCCGUCUCUACUAAAACUACAAAAAAUUAGCUGGGCGUGGUGUUGGGUGUCUGUAAUCCCAGCUACUCGGGAGGCUGAGGCAGAAGAAUCUCUUGAACCUGGGAGGCGGAGGUUGCAGUAGGCCAAGAUCUUGCCACUGCACUCCAGCCUGGGUAACAAAGUAAGAUUCCAUCUCAAAAAAA